rnacentral:rRNA from 1 species
UACGUAGGGCGCAAGCGUUUGUCCGGAAUUAUUGGGCGUAAAGAGCUCGUAGGCGGCUUGUCACGUCGGAUGUGAAAGCCCGGGGCUUAACCCCGGGUCUGCAUUCGAUACGGGCAGGCUAGAGUUCGGUAGGGGAGAGUCGGAAUUCCUGGUUGUAGCGGUGAAAUGACGCAGAUAUCAGGAGGAACACCGGUGGCGAAGGCGGGUCUCUGGGCCGGAACUGACGCUAAGGAGCGAAAGCGUGGGGAGCGAACAGG